GAUAUGGUGGACACUGACCUGAAUCUGAUCAAAGAACUGGAUGUGGCUAGAAAGGAGGAAAAGGACGAAAUUGAGGCUAUUCACUUGGAUGGAGGUGAAGCAGCGCAUAACAUCAAGCUGGACCUGGAACUUCUUAGAGGUCUGCCAUUGGCUCAAGCUGAGCACCUGAGUGUAGGACCUGCUGCCAAAGACAAGAUGGAGGAUAAAGAAGCACAGAAAGAUGGGGAGAGUGUUUUAGCAGCCAAACACCAACACAAAUGCAAGACGAGGAGAGGAAAGCGAGGCAGGGGAGCCAAGAGAGGAGUGAAAGUGAAAGAGGCCAGGGAGAGUGACCACCCAGGCUGUCAAGACGUAAACAAGGAGGAAAGGAAGGAGCCCCAAAGUCAGGGAGACCGAGCAGGA